rnacentral:rRNA from 1 species
UACGUAGGGGGCGAGCGUUGUCCGGAAUCAUUGGGCGUAAAGCGCGCGCAGGCGGUCCUUUAAGUCUGAUGUGAAAGCCCACGGCUCAACCGUGGAGGGUCAUUGGAAACUGGGGGACUUGAGUGCAGGAGAGAAGAGUGGAAUUCCACGUGUAGCGGUGAAAUGCGUAGAGAUGUGGAGGAACACCAGUGGCGAAGGCGGCGAUCUGGGAAGAUACUGACGCUGAGGUGCGAAAGCGUGGGGAGCAAACAGG